GGAGGGUAUAGCUCAGUGGUAGGGUGGGUGCUUCGCAUGCACAAGGUCCUGGGUUCAAACCCCAGAACCUCCA